GGGAGGUAGUGACAAGAAAUAACAAUACAGGGCCUUUUUGGUCUUGUAAUUGGAAUGAGUACAAUUUACAUCUCUUCACGAGGAUCAAUUGGAGGGCAAGUCUGGUGCCAGCAGCCGCGGUAAUUCCAGCUCCAAUAGCGUAUAUUAAAGUUGUUGCAGUUAAAACGCUCGUAGUCGGAUUUCGGGGCGGGGCGGCCGGUCUGCCGAUGGGUACGCACUGGUCGCCGCGCUCUUCUUGCCGGAGGCGCGGCCUACUCUUCACUGAGCGGGCCGUGAACUCGGCACGUUUACUUUGAAAAAAUCAGAGUGUUUCAAGCAGGCAGUCGCUCUUGCAUGGAUUAGCAUGGGAUAAUAAAAUAGGACUUUGGUGCUAUUUUGUUGGUUUCGAACACCAGAGUAAUGAUUAACAG
rnacentral:rRNA from 1 species